rnacentral:rRNA from 1 species
UCUAAGAAAGAAGUUAAUACCCGAUGUUAUAGUCCUACCGCAUGAUGGGAUUAUUAAAGAAUUUCGGUAUGGGAUGGGGAUGCGUUCCAUUAGUUAGUUGGCGGGGUAACGGCCCACCAAGACAACGAUGGAUAGGGGUUCUGAGAGGAAGGUCCCCCACAUUGGAACUGAGACACGGUCCAAACUCCUACGGAAGGCAGCAG